AUUGAACGCUGGCGGCAUGCCUUACACAUGCAAGUCGAACGGUAACAGGUCUUCGGAUGCUGACGAGUGGCGAACGGGUGAGUAAUACAUCGGAACGUGCCCAGACGUGGGGGAUAACGAGGCGAAAGCUUUGCUAAUACCGCAUACGAUCUAAGGAUGAAAGCAGGGGACCGCAAGGCCUUGCGCGUUUGGAGCGGCCGAUGGCAGAUUAGGUAGUUGGUGGGAUAAAAGCUUACCAAGCCGACGAUCUGUAGCUGGUCUGAGAGGACGACCAGCCACACUGGGACUGAGACACGGCCCAGACUCCUACGGGAAGCAGCAGUGGGGAAUUUUGGACAAUGGGCGAAAGCCUGAUCCAGCAAUGCCGCGUGCAGGAUGAAGGCCUUCGGGUUGUAAACUGCUUUUGUACGGAACGAAAAGGCUCUGGCUAAUACCUGGGGCACAUGACGGUACCGUAAGAAUAAGCACCGGCUAACUACGUG
rnacentral:rRNA from 1 species